rnacentral:rRNA from 1 species
UACGAAGGGGGCUAGCGUUGCUCGGAAUCACUGGGCGUAAAGCGCACGUAGGCGGAUUGUUAAGUCAGGGGUGAAAUCCUGGAGCUCAACUCCAGAACUGCCUUUGAUACUGACGGUCUUGAGUUCGGGAGAGGUGAGUGGAAUUGCGAGUGUAGAGGUGAAAUUCGUAGAUAUUCGCAAGAACACCAGUGGCGAAGGCGGCUCACUGGCCCGAUACUGACGCUGAGGUGCGAAAGCGUGGGGAGCAAACAGG